ACAGAGGGUGCAAGCGUUGUUCGGAAUCACUGGGCGUAAAGCGCGCGCAGGCGGCGAUCUACGUCUGGGGUGAAAGCCCGGAGCUCAACUCCGGGACUGCCUUGGAUACGGGAUCGCUUGAGAAUUGGAGAGGCAAGGGGAAUUCCACGUGUAGCGGUGAAAUGCGUAGAGAUGUGGAGGAACACCUGUGGCGAAGGCGCCUUGCUGGCCAAUUUCUGACGCUGAGGCGCGAAGGCGUGGGGAGCAAACAGGA
rnacentral:rRNA from 1 species